rnacentral:rRNA from 1 species
UGGGGAAUUUUGGACAAUGGGCGAAAGCCUGAUCCAGCAAUGCCGCGUGUGUGAAGAAGGCCUUCGGGUUGUAAAGCACUUUUGUCCGGAAAGAAAUCCUUGGCUCUAAUACAGUCAGGGGAUGACGGUACCGGAAGAAUAAGCACCGGCUAACUACGUGCCAGCAGCCGCGGUAAUACGUAGGGUGCAAGCGUUAAUCGGAAUUACUGGGCGUAAAGCGUGCGCAGGCGGUUUGCUAAGACCGAUGUGAAAUCCCCGGGCUCAACCUGGGAACUGCAUUGGUGACUGGCAGGCUAGAGUAUGGCAGAGGGGGGUAGAAUUCCACGUGUAGCAGUGAAAUGCGUAGAGAUGUGGAGGAAUACCGAUGGCGAAGGCAGCCCCCUGGGCCAAUACUGACGCUCAUGCACGAAAGCGUGGGGGAGCAAACAGGAUUAGAUACCCUGGUAGUCCACGCCCUAAACGAUGUCAACUAGUUGUUGGGGACUUCAUUUUCCUUAGUAACGUAGCUAACGCGUGAAGUUGACCGCCUGGGGAGUACGGUCGCAAGAUUAAAACUUAAAUGAAUUGACGGGGUC